rnacentral:rRNA from 1 species
ACUUUGAAGAGCCGCGGUAUUUUGACCGUGCAAAGGUAGCAUAAUCAUUAGUUUCUUAAUUAGAUGCUGGAAUGAAUGGUUUGACGAGAAAUUAACUGUCUCUUAAUAAUCUUUAGAAUUUAACUUUUAGGUUAAAAGGCUUAAAUAUUUCUUUAGGACGAGAAGACCCUAUAGAGCUUAACAUUUAUAUUUUUUAUGUUUCUUAGUUUAUCUUUUUAUAUUAAAUUUUAAUGUUUAGUUGGGGUGACUUGAAGAAUUAAUAAACUCUUCAUUAUAAAAUCAUUGAUUUAUGUUCAUUUGAUCCAUAAUUUAUGAUCAAAAGAUUAAGUUACCUUAGGGAUAACAGCGUAAUCAUUUUUAAGAGUUCAUAUCAAUAAAGUGGAUUGCGACCUCGAUGUUGGAUUAGGAUUAAUUUUAGGUGUAGUAGCUUAAUAAUUAGGUCUGUUCGACCUUUAAAUUCUUACG